CCACUGUAGAAGAGUGCACAGUAUGAAGGAGCCUUGUUUCAUCUCCUCCCUCCUUCAUGGACUUGUAGCUUGGGCUGUGAUAGCAAACUAUAACAGAGACUGGAGGGAAGAGGACUGGUGAAGAGAGGAGAGCAUCUUCAUAGCCUCUUCUGGAGCCUCUGCCCUGUGGGAAGACUUCCAGGGGAUCAGAUUCUUUGUAAAAGGAGAGGUGACCUGGUCUGGCGGUCCUGUGAGAUGGUGGGAGUCUGGAGAGCGAGGAGGUCAGAGAGACUGAGACGGCCAUGCCUGUACCCCAACGCCUGGUGGCCCAUGGAGGUGUGGGGAACUACUGUUCUUUUCGGUUGCCAGUUUCCAUGGUAUUUUCUGUUGUGAUAGUGCAUAAUACGGCAGAGCCUUUCUUCAUAUUCAAUAGUUUUGAGUCAUUGUUGCCUGGCACAGCUGUACAAACUAUUCAGCAUGAGUAGGUAGGUGGAUAAUAGGGUUUAGGGAACUCUUUCUACUUCUAGAAAGUAGAAAGUAUUUUCUAUGACAAACAACUCCCUUCUACAUAAGACACAACAAACACCAGAUUUGUCAAGAAAAGCAGGAUAAUGGGUUUCUCCUCCCUCCCUUCUGUCCUGCUUAAUCAUCCGAUCAACAAAUAUUACUGAGGGCCUCUACAUUGUUGAGGCGGCUUAGCAUUUGGGGAUACUUCCUCAGGAAUCAAACUGUGUCUGUGAGGAUCUUUCCUCUGCUGGAUUAGGUUCUCCCUCAAGGAAGGGACUGUGUCUUAUUCAUCAUUGUAGUCCAGAACUUGGCAUGGUACGUGGCACUGGAUGGUUGUCAAGAUCAGUAUCUGGGACCAAACCACUUCCUACCACUUGUAGCAAUGUGGCCUUGAGCAAGUUAUAUGACUUUUUUCUAAGGGGUGGUUUUAUCACCCAUAACAUGGGGGCAAUAAAAAUAUACAUCUCAUUAUGAAACACUGAUGUAAGCCUCAAUGAACUAAGACUUUUCUUCUGUGCAAAACCAUGUAAGAAAGUGAAGCAACAAGGAAUGGAAAGGAAAUAUUUGAAAGCCACAUAUCCAAAAAAGACUUGUUUCUAGAAUUUAUUCUUAAAAUUCUUAAAUCUAUUCUUAAAAUUCAACAGUAAAAAAAAUCCAACUAGACAGUAAAAGACACAACCAGAAAAGAGAUUAACAAGCUAGUAGAGCUAUACAAAUUAAGUCCAUAAGAACUCACUACUAACCUAUCUGCUGGAAUGCCAAAAUAAAAUACAGAUUUGCUAACAUUUUCCCCCCUCGUACUCAGUGAAUGGUAUAUGGCUCACACUGGUCUCCAGGAAAUGUUACCAAAGCCACUAUGGGCUCAUGUGCACAACUGUAAAGCUUCCAGAAGUUUCUGAUGAGAGGAGAAACUUAAACACUCUGAAGAGGUCUGGGUGGGUUUCACUCCUCUCAUAGUGCAGCGAUUCUUUCACUCAUUGGACUGGGUAGUUUAUAGGAGAGAAUAUGUGUGUGCAUUUUUUUAAAAAAGGAAUUUGAACAAUAUAUGUUACUUUUUUUUUUUUUGGUGCUGGGGAUCGAACUCUUGACCUCUCGUUUGCCAAGCAGAAACUUAAGCAGCUGAGCUAAAAAAACCCCUGGCUCCUUUCUUGUUUUUAUUUAUUUAUUUUUGGCCAGCAAAACUGAGGACAUUGAUUUUAAUUAUAGGCCUGUAGGCUUAGGGUCCAGAAGAAGGUCCAAGAAGGGGGAAUAUAUGAGGGGAAAAAGUAGACUUACUUGGUGGUUUAUAGUUCUACUUAAGAGGCAAAAAUAUAACAUUAAAGUAUAUUUUUCAAGUGUAUUUGAAAAUUUUAAUUUCUUCAUAUGAGCUAGGACAUAUAGUCAGUCCUCCAUCUCUGUGCAUUGUGCUUCUGUGGAUUCAACCAAUUACAGAUUAAAAAUAUUCAAGGGAAAAAUUACAAACAUACAUGUCCUGCCUGUAGUGCCUUGUGAUGGCCUGUGCCCCCUCGGGACUCUGACAGCAAAGCCAUAAGCAAAUGCGGCCCCACCACACCUUAGACCCACAGAGGCCUGCUGCAGCCACCUCUGGUCUCAGUGCCACUCCAGCUUACGGAAUGACAGCCAAAAGGCAGCAGGGGUAGUAAGAAAGAAGUUUCCCAUACUGUGGCUCGUUCUAAGCUGACUGCCUGCAAAUUGGUCAGCUGGAGAAGAAAACUUCAAGUGACAGGCUGGUACUACGACUCUUUCUGAAGUCAGACACCGUCGGAAGCCCACUGAUCUAUUUAGCAAAUGCCUCCUCUUGUAUCCAGCAUGAGAAUUGGUACAGAACUUCAAUGCUGAUCUUUGAGCUUCUGGAGUGCAGCUAUCGGUACCUUGCAGUGUUAAAUCAAACUCACUUGGACUGAGAGGGCCUUUGUGUACACACACACACAAAUACGCGCGCACACACACACACACACACACAUGCAUGCAUACAUAUAAAUUGUAUCUGUAUUGAAUAUAUUCAGUUUUCUUGUCAUUAAUCACUAAACAACACAAAGAACUAUUGUAUUAGAUAUUACAAGUCAUCUAGAGUUUUAAAGUAUGUGGAAGGAUGCAUGACAGAUAUUAUUGUGCAAUUUUAGUAAAAAGAGUUGACUAUCUUCAGAUUUUGGUUUCCAAGAAGUGUUCUAUAAUCAGUGUGCCUCAGAUACUGGAGCCUGACUGCGCUAACAUGGAGCAAACAUCACAGUUUGCAUAUAUAGUCCAGCCCUGUCGGUCCAUGUAAACAAACUUUGUUUGAUUAAUUAUAUUCUGUACUAAUACUUAUUUUGAAGAGAAUAAGAUGGAAAGAAAGGGGAAGUAACAAAGCAGCAGUGAAAUACUGUACAUGUAAUUUGAAAAUAUGAAUCAGGAGUUGUAGGAAUUAGAAUAGGGAAAAGCCACAAAUGCUUUAUUCAUUUCUUCAUUGUUAUGUUUGGUGGGAGUAAAAAUUUGGAGACAAUCAAUUGCCUAUAAUUAGGACAAAUUAUUAAAACAAUACUCUGUAAGUUAUUGUACACUUUUGAAAAUACAGUAAUGAUUAUAAUGAUUAUUUAGCAACAUAGAAAAUGCUUAAAAUAACAUGCUUAUGAGAAAAGGGCUGAAGAUUAUACAUCAUCUAAGCAGGAAAAAUGAAAAGAAACUAUAUCAAAUGUUAACAGCUGUGUUUGGGUAAUGGGAUAAUUAGUAGGUUUUUUUCUUUUCUUUUCUCUCCCAAUAUUUCAAUCAAUUACAAACACCAAUUAAAAGUACUCAAAUUAUGAAGUCAAUAUUUAAAGACAGAAAGAGUAAAAUGGGCUUACUUUGAAGUUAACUGUCCUGCACAUAGCUUCAUGAAGGACUUUACAUGGGACAAAAAUCUUAAUUAUUGCCAUUUGUAGGAAGAUUGCAUUUAUUCUGAGAGUGACUGGAGUGGUUGGAAAACCAGUGGAAUAAUAGGGGAAACUAGAUCCUCCCAUCCCCAGCUGCCAGUAAUUCAACAUAGAGCUUUAAGAAACAAUUUCUGUCCAUUCACUAUGGCCUGGUUCUGGGGACCUCCUCCCCCAGGCUAUUGUGAUGGUGAUGGCCUGGUCCCCUAACAGCUCCCAGAGGACCGGGCACUUAAUGGCAGAGCCCUGGCAGCUGUCUGGCUUGGGGUUGCUGGUCAUCAGAGACUUGAAGCCUGUGCCCUGUUGACCCAGAGGUGAAUAGUCCUUUCUCUUACCUACUCCCCAGAGGCACAGUGGCCUCAUUAGGGUACAGUUUCUAAUCCAAACAACCAUUAAUCUUUCUCAGGGUUAAAAGGCCAGAAAAGUAAUUUUUGUGUGUGCUUUCUAUUUUGAUACUGUACUUGUCUGUAUUUUACAAGAGCAGACAUUUCACUGACCACUUGAAAACACCCCAGAGCUGGAUCUACAGCCACACAAACAAUGCCAAUCCCAAACACAGAGAGGGGACAGGAGCACAAAAACAAGUCAGGCACUUGACAAUAAAUCAUAAAGCAUGGCCUACUUGGAACAAAUUAGUGUUUUAUAUCAUGAAAGAAAUUACUGAUGAUGUAUUUUAGGUGUAAACACUGUAUAUGAUAGUUUUAUGAAAGCAGACAUAUACAGACUUCUGAAUGUCUUUCUUUUAAUGUUCCUUGCCUUGGCAAGUAAAUUAAUCCAUGUAAGUGUGGCUGAGGCUUUUUAGAAUUUUUGAAAAGAAAACUAGGAUUUGAAAUUAGAAA